UACGAAGGGGGCUAGCGUUGCUCGGAAUGACUGGGCGUAAAGGGCGCGUAGGCGGUUUGGACAGUCAGAUGUGAAAUUCCUGGGCUCAACCUGGGGGCUGCGUUUGAUACGUAUGGACUUGAGUUCGGAAGAGGGUCGUGGAAUUCCCAGUGUAGAGGUGAAAUUCGUAGAUAUUGGGAAGAACACCGGUGGCGAAGGCGGCGACCUGGUCCGAUACUGGACGCUGAGGCGCGAAAGCGUGGGGAGCAAACAGG
rnacentral:rRNA from 1 species